rnacentral:rRNA from 1 species
GAAUUGCGUGGCCGUUGCUGGUUAUUACAAGUGCACGCCGCGUCUUUCUUAUCCACCCCACCGUGCAUCCCGGUACGCUUGAAUGCGUAGUCCUUUUACACAAAACCAUAUUGUAAUGAUUAGAACGUGCGCAUUUGAAAUAAACAAUAGUACAACUAUCAACAACGGAUCUCUUGGCAUCCCACUCGAUGAAGAACGCAGCGAAUUGCGAUAAGUAAUGUGAAUUGCAGAAUUCAGUGAAUCAUCGAAUCUUUGAACGCACCUUGCACCCUCUGGUAUUCCGGAGGGUAUGCCCGGUUGAGUAUUAUGAUCAACUCAAGCCUCUGGUUUCUAAUYGCAAAGGUCUWACGUUYGGCGAACCCGUCUAUUGGGACGGCAGUAGUUGACGCUUGACUUGGAAACUCGGAYUGGCAUUGGACUUGAGCGCAUGUCGGUUGUGUUGACGAUCGACUCGCUUGAAAUGCAUUAGCUGGCGACCCGCCUUACGGUUCCACUCGACGUAGUAAGCAUUAUUCGUUGAGGACACCUCUCUUGAUUGAAAGGUGGCCGACAGGUGUUUGGUAUUGAAGCCGCUUCUAAUCGUCUUAGGACAAAUUCCAUUGAACGAUUGAUCUCAACUCGGGUAGGACUACCCGCUGAACUUAAGCAUAUCAAUAAGCGGAGGAAAAGAAACU